rnacentral:ncRNA from 1 species
GUAAAAAUUUUAUAAGAAUAUGAUGUUGGUUCAGAUUAAGCGCUAAAUAAGGACAUGACACAUGCGAAUCAUACGUUUAUUAUUGAUAAGAUAAUAAAUAUGUGGUGUAAACGUGAGUAAUUUUAUUAGGAAUUAAUGAACUAUAGAAUAAGCUAAAUACUUAAUAUAUUAUUAUAUAAAAAUAAUUUAUAUAAUAAAAAGGAUAUAUAUAUAAUAUAUAUUUAUCUAUAGUCAAGCCAAUAAUGGUUUAGGUAGUAGGUUUAUUAAGAGUUAAACCUAGCCAACGAUCCAUAAUCGAUAAUGAAAGUUAGAACGAUCACGUUGACUCUGAAAUAUAGUCAAUAUCUAUAAGAUACAGCAGUGAGGAAUAUUGGACAAUGAUCGAAAGAUUGAUCCAGUUACUUAUUAGGAUGAUAUAUAAAAAUAUUUUAUUUUAUUUAGUUCCGGGGCCCGGCCACGGGAGCCGGAACCCCGAAAGGAGAAAUAUUAAAUAUUUAUAAUAAUAAUAAUAAUAAUAUAUAUAUAUAAAUUGAUUAAAAAUAAAAUCCAUAAAUAAUUAAAAUAAUGAUAUUAAUUACCAUAUAUAUUUUAUAUGGAUAUAUAUAUUAAUAAUAAUAUUAAUUUAUUAUUAUUAAUAAUAUAUUUUAAUAGUCCUGACUAAUAUUUGUGCCAGCAGUCGCGGUAACACAAAGAGGGCGAGCGUUAAUCAUAAUGGUUUAAAGGAUCCGUAGAAUGAAUUAUAUAUUAUAAUUUAGAGUUAAUAAAAUUAAUUAAAGAAUUAUAAUAGUAAAGAUGAAAUAAUAAUAAUAAUUAUAAGACUAAUAUAUGUGAAAAUAUUAAUUAAAUAUUAACUGACAUUGAGGGAUUAAAACUAGAGUAGCGAAACGGAUUCGAUACCCGUGUAGUUCUAGUAGUAAACUAUGAAUACAAUUAUUUAUAAUAUAUAUUAUAUAUAAAUAAUAAAUGAAAAUGAAAGUAUUCCACCUGAAGAGUACGUUAGCAAUAAUGAAACUCAAAACAAUAGACGGUUACAGACUUAAGCAGUGGAGCAUGUUAUUUAAUUCGAUAAUCCACGACUAACCUUACCAUAUUUUGAAUAUUAUAAUAAUUAUUAUAAUUAUUAUAUUACAGGCGUUACAUUGUUGUCUUUAGUUCGUGCUGCAAAGUUUUAGAUUAAGUUCAUAAACGAACAAAACUCCAUAUAUAUAAUUUUAAUUAUAUAUAAUUUUAUAUUAUUUAUUAAUAUAAAGAAAGGAAUUAAGACAAAUCAUAAUGAUCCUUAUAAUAUGGGUAAUAGACGUGCUAUAAUAAAAUGAUAAUAAAAUUAUAUAAAAUAUAUUUAAUUAUAUUUAAUUAAUAAUAUAAAACAUUUUAAUUUUUAAUAUAUUUUUUUAUUAUAUAUUAAUAUGAAUUAUAAUCUGAAAUUCGAUUAUAUGAAAAAAGAAUUGCUAGUAAUACGUAAAUUAGUAUGUUACGGUGAAUAUUCUAACUGUUUCGCACUAAUCACUCAUCACGCGUUGAAACAUAUUAUUAUCUUAUUAUUUAUAUAAUAUUUUUUAAUAAUUAUUAAUAUUAUUAAUUUUUAUUUAUUUAUAUCAGAAAUAAUAUGAAUUAAUGCGAAGUUGAAAUACAGUUACCGUAGGGGAACCUGCGGUGGGCUUAUAAAUAUCUUAAAUAUUCUUACA